CUACGGGGCGCUGCAGUGGGGAAUAUUGGACAAUGGGGGAAACCCUGAUCCAGCAAUGCCGCGUGUGUGAAGAAGGCCUGCGGGUUGUAAAGCACUUUCGGUUGGGAGGACUGCUUCUAGCACUAAUAUUGUUGGAAGUUGACGUUACCUUCAGAAGAAGCACCGGCUAACUCCGUGCCAGCAGCCGGCGGUAAUACGGAGGGUGCAGCGUUAAUCGGAAUUACUGGGCGUAAAGCGCGCGUAGGCGGCUAGAUCAGUCGGGUGUGAAAGCCCCGGGCUUAACCUGGGAACUGCAUCCGAUACUGUCUAGAUUGAGUACAGGAGAGGAGAGUGGAAUUCCACAUGUAGCGGUGAAAUGCGUAGAUAUGUGGAGGAACACCAAUGGCGAAGGCAGCUCUCUGGCCUGAUACUGACGCUGAGGUGCGAAAGCGUGGGGAGCAAACAGGAUUAGAUACCCUAGUAGUC
rnacentral:rRNA from 1 species